rnacentral:rRNA from 1 species
UACGGGGGGGGCAAGCGUUGUUCGGAAUUACUGGGCGUAAAGGGCUCGUAGGUGGCCAACUAAGUCAGACGUGAAAUCCCUCGGCUUAACCGGGGAACUGCGUCUGAUACUGGAUGGCUUGAGUUCGGGAGAGGGAUGCGGAAUUCCAGGUGUAGCGGUGAAAUGCGUAGAUAUCUGGAGGAACACCGGUGGCGAAGGCGGCAUCCUGGACCGACACUGACGCUGAGGAGCGAAAGCCAGGGGAGCAAACGGGG